rnacentral:rRNA from 1 species
GACGAACCGUGCGAACGUUAUUCGGAAUCACUGGGCUUAAAGCGCGUGUAGGCGGAAGGGCACGUCUGGUGCUGAAAUCCCCCGGCUCAACCGGGGAACGGGCACGGAUACGACUCUUCUGGAGGAACGUAGGGGGACCUGGAACUUCCGGUGGAGCGGUGAAAUGCGUUGAGAUCGGAAGGAACGCCCGUGGCGAAAGCGAGGUCCUGGACGUUUUACUGACGCUGAGACGCGAAAAGCCAGGGGAGCGAACGGG